rnacentral:rRNA from 1 species
UACGGCGGGUGCGAGCGUUACCCGGAUUUACUGGGUGCAAAGGGCGUGUAGGCAGUCUCUCAAGUCCGAUGCUAAAGACCGAAGCUCAACUUCGGGGGUGCGUUGGAUACUGUGAGGCUAGACGGUCGGAGAGGGUAGCGGAAUUUCCGGAGUAGCGGUGAAAUGCGCAGAUACCGGAAGGAACGCCAAUAGAGAAGGCAGCUACCUGGACGAUUUGUGACGCUGAGGCGCGAAAGCGUGGGGAGCAAACCGG